rnacentral:lncRNA from 1 species
CAUGCUGUUGGCUUUAUUCGCGGGUGGGGACGGGUACAGAGUGGAAGAAAAUAAUGGGUGUCUGAUGCUUGGCUGGCACACUCGUCCCCUCAUCGCCACCUCCGCAUGGCAACUCAACUCCAACUUCAACCCCACCUCCACCUCUGCCUCCACCUCUGCUCAUUCUCAGUGACAUUGGGUCUGGAUGGCAACGCCCUUUUACUACUCUUUCUUUCCCUCCUGAGUCUCUCUGACUUGACUCUCCAUUCCUGAUUUUUCUCUCUUCUUGCUAGAUUGUAAUCUAUUUGCUUAGAUAUUUUUCCUUUAAUUAUCAUAUCAGGGUGGACCG